UGAAUUUGAUUUUUCUCCCGACUUUUUGGGUUUAACCCCUGCAGGCUUUACGUGAGAGGAACUAUAUUGGGGUACAAGAGGUCGCAGUCCAACCAGUACCCGAACACUUCGUUGAUUCAGAUCGAAGGAGUGAACGCAAAGGAGGAGGUGGCUUGGUACCUCGGCAAGAAGAUGGCGUACAUCUACAAGGCUAAGGUUAAGAAGAAUGGGUGCAGGUUGGACUUGAACUUAGCUCUGACGACGCCGCUGUUACGGUGAAGAAUGGGUGUAGGUUGGACUUGAACUUAGCCCUGAUAACGCCGCUGUUACCGUUAGGUAAGAGCGGCGUUGUCAGGGCUAGGUUCAAGUCUGCCCCCCAAGUCAGUGAGCGGCGUCGUCCGAGCUAAGAGGUAAUAUUAACUGUACUGCUGUUCCUUUAUUUAUCAUUCCUAUUUGGUUUGCUAUUUCUUUUUCUUAAAUGAAUGUUUCUGUAUCCUGAUAUUUCAGGGAUCAAGGGUUCGGGUCUUCAUGUACCCAAGCAAUAUUUAACGUAUUCUUUAUCCGCUUUUUUGAAAAUUUUCCAAGGUUAUGUUUAUGGUUGCUUUUUGGUGAAAAAUUUGUUACCUAUACUUUCAGUGAGAUGUUUCUUUUGCAAUAUCUGAAUUAGAGUUUAAUAAUUUGGGUCAUUUACGGGGAUGCUCUGACUUGUAGAGUUUGGUAAACUGACCAAUUGGUUAGAUUAUGAGUAACUUCAAGGUUGGUCGAUAUUUGGAGUUGAUUUUUUGGGUUGGAGUCUGUAUAUAGGUAUGUGGUCGCAAUUUACUUUUGUUCCUCAUAUUGCUUUCAUAAGCGGUUUCCCUUUGACAAUGACGUGUGCUUGUACUAAUUUUUGAAGCUUUCUUUGUUAGAAUGGUUGUAAGAAGGAGCUGGUUUUUGUGAAGACUUUGCUUGAAGUUUUACACAUCCGUCUUUAUGCAAUACUAAAAUUUGUAGGCUAUAGAGCUCAGCUUGAGUAGCGGAUGGUUUUACCAGAUUUCUUGUGUUGGAUUUUAGUUUUACCAGAUUUAUAGUUAUGGCUUAAAUUUUCAGACAUGCAUCAUUUUAGUGAAUGAUGAGGUAACAUGGAGAAGUUUUUCAUGAGAACAGUUUGUGUGGUUACUGAUGAACAUGACCAAAAAAUGUGGGUUGAGAGAGAGCGAGCAAGAUGCGGAUCUGAAGACAAUACAGAGGAUGUCAAUCAUGCUUAAAAUUGUCUGUGUUACACAAUUCAUCCAAAAUAUGGCUGUUAGAUAUGCAGAAUUGAUGGAGACUUGUGUGCACAACAUGUGGGGGGUAAAAGGUACAGAUUUUGUUAAUUUUCACAAGUAAUAUCCCCUCCACAUUUCAGGAAGCAUGUUAGAAAAGAUGGCACUGUGGCUAGUUUCCAAGUAUUUUGAAACUUCCCCAGUAUAAGUUAUCCAAAGUUACUCAGACACAGUUACUGCGCACUCAUUUUUUAAAAAAUUAUUCCAAAUAAUCUUCAAUCCGGAGGCAUUUCAAAGUAACUUAGCCGGUUCAAUUAAACUGGUAUACUUGGAGGAGGCAUGCACGCAGAACUGAGCCGGUCCACCCUCACCAGGUCGACGCUAGGAAAGCCGCUUCAUGAAAAGGUUCUUCUUUCUCUGCACAUAAAACCUCCUCACCAUUUGCAGUUGAGGUGGGAAAAUAACUAGGGUUCACCUGCCACAUCUGCAGUAAUUACCCCCAAAAAAGAAAAGGAAAGAAAAAUGCCAUUCAUAUAGAAGAUAGAGAGACAGACGGAUUACAGCCAGUUCGAUUCAACUCUCCCCAUCGUCAUCGACAAUGGCGGUUCGUAUUUCCGCAUUGGGUAACAAAAGCCCUGAUUCUUUGGUUCGCUUAGAUUAAUUUGCUUUGUGAAGUUGUGUUUUGAUAAAAUUCCCGAUAAAUCACACCCUUCAAUUAUGAUUUGGUCUUGUGAUAGCUGGGCAGGGGAGGAUGAGCCUCGGGUUAUAUUCCGGAAAAUUUUAGGCCUCGUCAUAAAACCACUGGUAUCUCUUGAUAUACAUAUGUUCACAUAUAUUUGUAAUUUUCACUAGUGUAAUUUUUUCGGCAUUAUGCCAAUGUUAAUCUCUCUGCCUGUGAAGUUGGAUUUGAACUGAAUAUACCAUUGUGCUAGAUUUUUCCCCAAUCUUCUUCUUCUUCUUCUUUUUUCCUAUUUGAGCAUGGCAUGAAUGAUGGAAAACUUGUUUUUAACCGGUAGGCUGGAUAUCACUUGUAUAUACUGGCUCAACAUAAGCAAAAAUUCAUGGGUCAUGUGCUUGCCAAAUUUCUUUUACCAAAGAUUUGAUUUUUGAUGAAGAUGAAUAAGCUUCAAAUGUCUUCCACCCUCAAUUUUUGGUGCUUUCCUGUAAUUGAAUUCUUUUAUUUAUUAUUAUUAUUAUUAUUCAAAUAAUUGCAUGCUAGGUCAGUAUAUCUGCUUCUUUGUUUUUGCUGGAGCACUAGAUUGAGUGUAAUUAAUACAGUCAAAUGAUUUAUGUAUUUACAUUUGUGGCCUUUCCUGUUCCACUCAACCUAUAAUUUAUGAUUUGAAUGGAAAGAACAAAACCUCUGCAUUCACAUGUUUUAGAUUGCAGAGGUUUUGGACUCAUGGGUUCAAAAUGGUAGCUUCACAUGUUUGAAUCUACACGUAGUUCCGAACUUCGACUUUUAUAAUUUGAUUUUACAUCAAUUAAAAGUUUUUUCUGCAUUCUUUCUAAUGCACGUGAAACAGUCACAGUUGUUGGUGAUCAUAACCCAACGCUGCUAAGAUAUUUUGAUUGCACAUGUUCAGGACCUCGUUCAUCUUUUGAUGGCAAUGUCGUUUAUCAGUUUGAGAUAAUGGAAUAUAUAAGUUUCAUUAAUUUUGAGUAGUAACUGGGUUUCAAGUUACCUUGCUGAAACUUUUCACUCUAUAUUCUCCAAUGAAUACUCUUUACUAUAGAAUGGUGAUCAAUUUGUUUCAUAAUUCUAAUAGGAUAUAAAGCACACCCUCUGUGUCCAUAUGCGUCACACAGCAGUUACUUUUACCCUGUCAAUAGUGAGAUACUAAAAGUCGGUAAUUUGUUAGACUCCUAAGAAGUAUGUGUUAUGUGUUACAUAUUGAUAACUUGCUUUCUCAAUCUGCAUCACAAAACUUAUAUCUGUCAUUUUGUAGAAAUGUUCUCAGUGAAUUACCAUCUUGAUUUUAUGAGUAUUUACUAGCCAUAUGCCAAUCUUUGGAGUUUGUUAAGAAUAUAAAAGCCCCAAAUCAUUCUAGCCUUUACUGCUUUACAUAAUAUUACCUGAGGUCACAUAAGCAGUAUGUUUGAUAUUCAAGCAGUUUCCUCCGAAAUCCACCUUACUGUUUAUACAAGUCUGAACUGACUAAUUAACGCCUAAACGCUUAGCUUCAGUCAUAGCAAUUGUAUAUCUUACAAACCGUAAAGUUUAACAUAACAAAGAAACUCUGAUUGGGGGCUGUAGAUGAAUGUAGAAUAAGGCAGAAUACAUGACACAUAAUGUAAUUUUCCUUUUCUUUUUUCAGCUUUUCGUUAAUCCAAAUGUUUGGAUAUCUUAAUAUGUUCCAUCGUUUUAUCCAGGCGUGUGUUUUCGUGCACCCAUUUGGUCCGGUAGUGGUUCAGUCCCCUCCGUGUUACCCCAGAACCUCCUUAGGUUCGCCCCCUCCCCCUUAGUGUAGGAUAGAUUAGAUUAUACAACAGUUGUUGUCUUUGAAAAAAAAAUAACAAUAUGUUCCAUCAAGUUACCUUCAACAUGUUUGUAUGAUGCUAUUUUGCAUUGAUUGGAAACUGAAACAUUUCCGUUUGUUACAUCUACUUUAUGUUCACAGAUCAAGUUGCUGAGUUGUGUGUUUUUUCUUGCAUGUAUAGAUUCUUGACUUCGGUUUUGAUCGAUUAGGUGCUGAUCAGUCGCAGGUACUGCUACAUCACCUUUCAAUUCUUUACUCGGCUAUAUCAAAGUUCUUUUUGGUGUGAUCUGAUGUAAAAUGCAAUGUGAGAUUUAUCAAUUCGGAAGUUGCUGGUUUUUCUUACUGUCAUCAUAUUUUAUGUGAUUAUCCGGUUUUGCUUGCAAAGCUAUAUAUGUUGUAUAGCGUGAAUAGAUAGUAGAUUUAUUCCUGGAGAUCUGUUUGUCAUUGCAUCCACCCCCCCUAGUUUUACUUAUUAAACUUUUGUGACAUUUCGUGCAGACCUAAUGUUUCGUGUUGACUUUUUGUGUCAUAAGCAGAGAUUCUGAUUUGCACUUUAUAUAUAACUGAGGUAAAUACUGUGGGCUCAAAGCAUUGAAUGUCUUCAUUGAUCUCCUUAAAGAAUUUACAAGCUUUCUUUGCAGGCAAUGGUUGACAUCCCAAAAAUGUUGUGGUUUAGAAUAAGCUUUUUAUGUCAAUUUGAUUCAUUUCUUCAUGUUUAUUUUUGUGCAGCUUGUAGAUGUCUGACUUCAUUUGUGUUUUUUGCAAUAUUUAUCGCUUCAUAUUUGAUUCCUGAAUUUCUUGAUUUUAGAUAUCAGCGUUGGAAAUAUUCAUGUAGUUGAUUUGAUGGCAGAACGGAUUGACCAUCCUGUUUUGAUCACCGAGUGUGCUAUCCAGUCUCGUUGUAGAAUGGCAGAACUUCUUUUUGAGUCUUAUGGAGUUCCUUGAAUAGGUAUGCUUGCCAGUUGUUAGUUAACUGAAGCUUCUGCUUGUUUGGGCAAAUAUUUUAGUUACGGUGAAACAGGGAUGCAAACUCUUAAUAUUAUUGUCAACUGCAUGUUUUAUCUUUGUAUGGAUGUAGCAUGAUUGACACACGAUGGUCACAGCGUAUUGUACUUGUAUUUCUCGUUUUAUAUGGUCCGAUGCCAUGAGUGCUUGGACUGUUGCUAUUUUAAUGUAUCACUUACUUUUUACUUUCCCUUUAGCAGCAUUUGGUGUGGAUGCCACAUUCAGCUACAAGUACAACCAACAACUUGGAAUAUGUAAUAGUGAUGGUCUUGCAAUUUGCUCAGGAUUUAUGACUAGUGAUGCUGUUUGGGUAUGCUUCACUUGUUUUUACUGAAGUUCAUAGGGAUUUUGUGGAUAAUUCCAAUUUCAUGGAGCAGUGAGUACAGAAACAUAUCCAUCACAAAUCUCAACUAUGCGUCACUGCCGCAAUUCUUUUGCUGUUCCAUUAAAGGUUAGGUUAGUUUAUUCUGAAGUUCAGUGCCCAUACCAAGUCACUAUCUUGAUCUGGUGCCACUGAGUCUACUAUUGGUAUCAAGUAUGAAAAGACCUACAUUGAAUAGAUUAUAUUCUUCCAGAAGAAACAUGUUGUUCAUGUAGGGUACACCCAUCCUUAAUAAUUUCAUGAAUUUUGCCAUUAACUUUUUGUAGGUCAACACAAAUAUGCUUUGCCUAUGACCUAUUAAAGAAUUAGUUAUCUAUCUGUAUUUGCCGCAUUAUUCGUUGGAUAUGCACAACCUGUAGGCCUGUCCUACAAACCAGCCAAACACCUAAGCUUGAGCUUGGCAUCAUGGAUUCAGCCAAGUACAGCAUCAUGUAGUUCGCAGGUUGCUCAUAGGAGGAUGCCGAAAUUUUACUUUUAAUGGGCAACCUAUAAUUGACUUGUGAUAAAUAUUCUCAAACUAUACGGGGGCAAUACUUUAAUUUUGUAAAGGAGUAUUUUGAAGAAUUCCAAAUUUUCAAGGGGUGGAAAGGUAAUAUCUUGGAUAAGUAGGGUGGGGGUGGUCCCCUACACCCCUGCAACCAAAGGUCUGGGAUGGAUUGCUGGAGAUUAUUGGUGGUGCAAGGUUUGCAGAGUUUGGUGUUUGGCAUAUGUAGCGCCUUGAAUAUAAUAUUUUAGCUCAAGAUGCUUCUUUGAGGCUCAAGCUAGAAGAAAAUGAAUCACUGAGCUAAGAACCAAAUUGAGCAGCUUCCUUCUCACUGGGGACUAGGAAUGUUUGAUAGCUGAGCAAUGGUUUACUGUGGGCAAUUAAGAAGCCAGAAUAACAAAGUGAAACAUUAACACCUGCAUGUAAUACCAGUUAAUGUAUUCAGUCUCUGAUACUUAUCCUAGUGUUAUAUGAAGUACUGCACCUUAACAACUUGCAAUGGUCUACAAUGUAUAUGUGUAAGUUUGAAUUCUUAUCCAUUUUUCCUAUCACAGUUCAUAAAUGGAGAACCUGCUUACGAAGCAUGUUGCCGAACUAGUGUUGGUGGAUACCAUGUUACCGAUUAUCUGAAGCAGCUUCUUUCACUUAAAUAUCCCCAUCACAUGUAAGCUUGAGAAUGCCGGUCCCUCUGUAAAUGCAAUUGGAACUUUUCUUCAUUUGUUUUGUAGUCUUGAUCGCUUAUUUUUUUUAAAACAGUUCUAAGCUCACAUGGGAAAAAGUUGAAGACCUUAAGAUGGAACACUGUUACAUUGCAUCAGAUUAUACAUCAGAAGUCCGAAUAUUUCAGGUAGUGUAGUUUGGUCUUUCUGACUUGUCUGCAACUAUUCUGCUUUGCUUCUGCAAUCAUCUAAGCAAUUCAACUUGUAGCAGAAAGGGGAUAAAGAAGCUGAAGAAAAGACCAGGUGCUGGCAGCUUCCUUGGACUCCUGCACCAGCUGAAGAACAACCUUCAGAAGAAGAGCUAGCUGGAAAGGCUGCUCUAAAGGAGAGACAGGGUCAAAGACUAAGGGAGAUGGCUGAAGCAAAGAGGUCCUCUCGAAUUAAUGAGCUUGAAAAUGACAUUAGAGGUUUGGAAUUCCUCUUAAAGCAGCUCAAGCUGGUUGAAGAGAAUAAUGUUCCUGCAUUUCUAAAGAGAGACUGGCUAUGCCUCUAAACAGGAAAUAGAAUCUAAUCUGGCAAAGGCAAUACAAUCUUUAUGCAAAGCAAAGGGCGAACAAGUUGAAACUGAGGAGAAGAUGGACGCUUCCACGGCUGACAAGUAUAAUCUUGUCAAUGUGCCUGACAAUGUGCUGACACCAGAGCAGGUGUGUGUUCCGAUUCCAUGUGUUCUAACAGAUCUUUGUCUUAUAGUUUCUGUUGAUUUUGGUAUUUUCUACUGCACAGCAAUUUCUAGUUAAACAAGAUACAAGAGCAGUGAAUGGCUGCUAAAUUGGAACCACAGUAUUGUUUUCAUGUAAUGUUCGUAACUUUCAGAAAUUUAAAUUUUUCACUCUUGUUUCCAUGGCAGCUUAAAGAGAAAAGGAAGCAGUUGUUUCUCAAAUCCACAACUGAGGCCAGGCAACGAGCUAAACAGAAGCGGAUUGAAGAGGAAUUAGAAAGAGAAAAAGCAAAUGAAAAUGGAGGAGGAAAAGCGCUUGUAUGUUUGUGAUUCGCAAGCUUAACUUGUCUAAUCAUUGCUUGAUGAUAUUGUAGAUAUGUGGUCUCUUUUACGUUGUAUUGUCAUUACAUUAUGCUUUGCUUCUGAAUGUAGAGAGAAGCCAGACGUGAUUUGGAGGAUUUACGUGCUAAAUACCGAGAGCUUUCUGAGAGAGUGGAGCAGCGAAAACGCUUGAAGCCAAAUGGCAACAACACAAAUGGGAACCAAAAUGGUUCUGGAGGUGUGGGCCGUGGUGAAAGAUUGAAUGUUGCUCAAAGAGAGAGGAUGCGCCUCCUGACAACAGCUGCAUUUGAUCGAGGGAAGGGCGAGGACACUUUUGGUAGCAUUUGGGAGUUUUGUGGGGUAGAAAAUGAUGGAAAGCAUUUGAUUUGGAUAAAUGAACUCCUACUAUUAUGGUUACCACCGAAUGUGGGCGGAAAGCAUCGAAAAAAAGCUAAGAAUGCCUAAUAAAAUUUUUCUAAAUGCCAAUUUUGUUCUCAAAUGUGUGCUGAAUAAAUUUUUAUUAACACACACACACACACACACACACACAUAUAUAUAUCCAAAAUCAUCACUAAUCCUACCUUAACUCAAAAACAAUAUUAAAAUCUAAUUUUUUUCCUUUCUCUUCUUUUCUUUUCUUUCAUAAUGUAGCAUUUUCUAUCAUUUGUUUUCUAAUCUAAACAUCCAAAUUAACUAUAAAUAUUAGAAUUUGAAAGAUUUUGAAAAGAAAUUGAACGAUACAAAGUAUGAUAUUUUUAAAGAAAAAAUUCACAAUAGAUGGCUAAUGAUAAAAAAAUAGUAAAAUUUGUUCAAAACGUACAUCAUAUUUUACAAAAUAAUUUUUUCGUCCUUCAUUUAAAAAAGUGUAUUUUUACGUUUCUUACAAAUUGAUAUUGAACAAUUUUGGUACCUACCUAAAUUUUUGACUAGUUUUUUAUUGGAAUCUAUCACAUGCUUUACACAUGAUCAUUUUUUAAGGACAAGAUUGUCAAAUUAAAAUUUACAUAAUUUGAUCCAUAGUUCCUCAUAUUUAACAAAAUAAAAUUUUGUCUCUCAUAUUUCACAAAAUAAAUUGUAUCAUCUCUCAUAUUUUAUAAAAUAAAUUUUUUCAUCCCUUAUUGACUAUGUGUACAAAUAAUUUUUUAAAUCUAACUAAUUUUACUUAAAUAAUAUGAAUAGCAUGUAAUUUAUUUUUAUUUGCUUUCAUCUAAGUAGACUAAUUGUAGUUAUACACAUGCUAUUCAAUAGAUAUAUACAUUGGUUUAAAAAUAAUAAUUUUAUUUUAAAUCAAUAUAUAUUUUUAUUUGAUUUCACCAUGUGAAUCUAUUCAAUAUUUAUGGCUUUUUCCCUUUUGUUAAUAAUUCAUUUAUUGAGUUAUAUAAUAAGGUCAUCUAAUAAAUCGGUCCUAAAUCGAAUUCUAUAGUCAUGCUAACAAAUUGUAUUUUAAAUAUGAAAUUUUGACUCGCCACUUUUAAGAUCAAUAAUUGAAUUAAUUGGUUUGUGAUUGUUUUAAAAUUUGAAAGUGUCAAUCAUUUACUUCUUUUGUCAUACUUUUCCUUCGUUUCUUUUUUCUGUUCAAAUUUAAUUCAAUAUAAACACUUGAUAAUAUUUAGAAUUAAAUGUUUUCUUUGUUUUUAAUUUUUGAAUAAAAGUAAAAUGAACAUGAGUAGAAAAUUAACAUUUUUUUAAACUUCUUUAUAUAUCUAUUUAAUUUCACUUGAAUAUUACAUUCAGACGAAAUUAAAUAAAGAUAUAUUAUAUGCUAUUUAUAUUGUUCAUGUGAAAUUAAAUAGACAUAUAUACAUGAGUUACUUUUUAAAGUUAUUUGCAUAUAUGAUCAAUGAUGGAUAAAAAAAUUUAAUUUAUAAAAUAUGAGGGUCGAAACAAUUCAUUUUGUAAAAUGUGAGAUAUUAUCAAUCAGAUUAUGUAAAUUUUGAUUUGCUAAUUUUGUCCUUAAAAAUGAUCACGUGCAAAGCACGUGGUGGAUUCCAAUAAAAAAACUAGACGCAAAUUUAGGUAGAGAUGAAAUUUGACAAAUAUGAAUUUGUUAGGGACGUAAAAAUACACUUUUAAAAGUGAGAAACAAAAAAUUCAUUUUGCAAACUAUAAGAGGUGUUUCGAACGAUUUUUCCUAAAAAAAUAUAAAAUAUGCUAUGUUUUAUUGAUUUAUUUCUUUAAUUUACGGGUCUAUUAUUUCACAUGUUUUACAAGAAAUUUUCAUCAUUUGUAAUUUACAGGGAAAAUAAGUGCUAUUUUCAAAUAUUCCGGGGAGGGUAGCGAAAUUGAUAGAAAUCUAAAGGGGGGUUUCUGAAAUUAUACCUAUCAUCAACACAUAUAACCAUCAUUGACUCACCUAGGGUUUUAACGCAACUGUUCUGGGACUCCUCCAUCGCUAGCUACAAGCAGCCCCAUCACCCAUUCCCCGCCGGCCCUCAUCACCCAUCAGAAAAUGGUUAAGGGACGCCAAGGAGAGCGCGUCAGGUCAUCUAAUUUUCCGACUCCAUCUCCAUUUUCCCCUUAUUCAUUAAUUUGAUUUUUGUCCCGAUUUUUUGGGUUUAACCCUGCAGGCUUUACGUUAGAGGAACAAUACUGGGAUACAAGAGGUCGAAGUCCAACCAGUACCCGAACACUUCGUUGAUUCAGAUCGAAGGAGUGAUCACAAAGGAGGAGGUGGCUUGGUACCUCGGCAAGAAGAUGGCGUACAUCUACAAGGCUAAGGUUAAGAAGAAUGGAUCUCAUUACCGCUGCAUUUGGGGAAAGGUUUGCCGGCCUCACGGUAACAGCGGCCUUGUCCGAGCC
rnacentral:lncRNA from 1 species